UGCAUCAUUUUACUGUCCCUGCUGCUCUGACUCUCCGCCCAAAAAUGUCCGCCCACAAGGGAUGGAAGGGAUGUGCACGUGUUAGGCCCAAGUCACUGCGCACCCGCCGCUCCGAGUGCCUAGUGCCACAGGACGGCGUCGCAGGUUAAUGCCAGCCACUCGCCCUGCGGCACCGAGUGACUCACCGUACUUAAAGACAAGCAACAAUAACCCAUAUGGCGAAGAGAGAUAAAAACGUCUUUAUGUUCCAAACGUACAACUCUCGCGUCAGGAUAACUGGUCGGGAGGUAAACAGACAGAAGGGGAAGGAGCUCUCUCUCUCUCUCUCUCUCUCUCUCUCUCUCUCUCUAAAAGUGAUGAUUGGCAUGAAAGUUACUGAGAUGUAAAGCAAACAUUUCUCGGGAAGUAUGCCGCCUUAGUGAGGAAGGAAAAAAAAUAGCUUCCGCACCUCACCAGAUGCUGCCCAUGGCCAUUACAAGUCAACAUCGACACAACACGACGAGAGGAUCCACCCAAACCUUUCAGCCAUCACACAGUCCACCUCCCCACCAGCAGCCAGACUCCUCGUUCAAGUGUCAAUAAACGUAGAAGCCUGAUAUUGAAACCGCGUUAUAUUUAACCUCAACCUUCCCUUACCUCCCUCCAUCUCCCUCACCCUCUCCCUCUCUCCCUACCUAUCUACUGCUGCUCCUCUCACCCGGCCACGCCUUACUCACCAACCUCUGCAAAUAUGUUUAUGACUCAAAAGUAUCACCAUUUUGGACUCGCUCUACGGCACUCCUAAAAAUAAGGCACGAAGUAGCCACCUAGGACGCGCCGGGAAGCUUGUUAGGGCCACAAUAACCUACACUGGUGAGGACAGUGGUCGUUCCUCACAAGCCUCGCCUCGGUAACUCGAACACAAAGACAUCGGAGGUGAAAGAUGAUACUAUAAUUCUUUUUUGAUUGAGAGCAAACUAAAGGCUGAGAGCGAGCAAUAGCAGAUUGUGAUACCCACGAGGUAAGCAAUAUACUAAGCAACAUCUGAUUAGAUCCAUUAAUGAAUGUUCUGGCCAGACGAGAGGGAAAGACAGUGCCAGAGACUGAGUACACACACACACACACACACACACACACACACACACACACACACACACACACACACACACACACACA